ACAGGUGUAUAUUAAAUUACAAUGAUAAAUUAUUAUUUAAAUAUCAUAAAUAGUUCUGCUAUCUGCAUAUUUUUAUUAAAUCCUUAUCCAUCAAUAAUGACUGGACAACUCAUGGGAAAGCCAUUUGAAUUCAUCGUUCAAAAUCCCUGUAAAUACAGCAUGUCUGCUAAAGUUUGGUUUGGGUUUUUAUAGUGAACUAAAAUGUAAGCGUAAAAUAAAUGUUGACUACAAUCAAAUAAAAUAUUUUUAAAAAACUUUUAAUUUUAUUCCAGCUAGUUGCUAAAGAGAUAUUUCUUAUUUUUAUUAAAUUUAACUUGAUGUACUAAAAUAACUAAACUGAAAUAAAUAAUGAUAAAAUACUAUAUGGACAUUUAAAAAAAAAUAAAAAAUGUCAGAGAGACACAAUAUAAUAACUAAAACUGUAAAAUUUAAAUGAAAAUGUAAAAUGUAAAAAUCAAACCUAUUUCAAGCUAUGAAUGAAAACCGUAAUAGUAUCUUAAUGAUAAUAAAAUAACACUGCUAACAUAAACAGCUGAUCAGUGUUUCAUUCAACUUAGUUCAUGUUAAUAUUAAAAUAUUAAAAGAAAGAAAUAUAAGAAAAAUAUUAAAAGUUAUUAAAAAGUAAUAUAUAUUCUGAUUUAUAAGCUUUAUAUUAUUAUGUUAUAUAUAUAUAUAUAUAUAUAUAUAUAUUAUAUAAUAUUAGCUUAAUAUUAUGUCUAAGCUAAAAUUCUUGUUAUAUAUGCUCAUUCAUAUUAAUGUAUGCAUAUUGAUACUGCAUUGGUAUCAAAAUUGGAAUCAAGAAUGGUGAAAUAUUAUUGGUCCUGGUAUCAUGACCACCCUUACAUUAAUUAUUUAAUUUGUUAUUUUUUAUUUCAAAUCAAUAUAUUAUGUCAUCAUAUAUCUAAAUAUCCCUCACUAGGGAGCAGUGAACACUCUGUAGGGUCCCUGUGAAUGAUGUAGGGUCCAGUAUGAGAGUUUAUUUCAUGUGUUUGUGUCAGGAGAAAGCGCCCCUGUCCCAAUCGGCCUCCAUUAAAGAGUCUCUUCUGAAGAGCGAGGACCAAUCAGAGCCCAAAUGUGUGAGUCCACUAGAGUACCGCAGGACUCUGGCCGCUCAGAACAGCUUACAGACGGCCGUCAUGGUGCGUGUGGGCACUGAGGAAGACGAGGAGGAGGAAGAGGAGGAGCAGCCGUCCAGUCAAGAGCAGGACAUGUCUUAUGAGCUGACCAACAGCAAACACGGCACGCUGAUGUCAGUGAACAGUCUGUCGACUCCGCCCCAAUCUCCAAGCUCCUCCUCCUCUCCCCCGCCUCCGCCCUCCCCCCCACAGCUGACGGACGGAUCGCACUUCAUGUGUGUGUGAGAGGAGAGACGGACGACAGUGAAGCAUGUGAGAGGACGUCCCGCCGUGAGCCACACACAUCAUCGUCAUCAUCAUCAUCAUCAUCAGACAGACAGGAAGUGCCGCCCAUCAGCUGACCGACACACAGCGACGUCCAGGCCUUAGUUCAAACGAUUCAUUUAUAGUGCUUAUUAUUUAUAUUCCUAUUGUACUCUUGAGUUUUCCUGAAGCAUCUGUAGAUCCCAGAGUUGAGUUGUGUUUGAUUGGGUGUGCAGAGGUGCUAUUAAACCCUCGCUGAUGUACAUUACAGCACCCAGACUCACUGUCAACAGGAAGUAAAGCCCAUAAACCCACUUGUUUAAUUCAGACUGCCGAGGGUUGCGUUCAUGGUUCGCUUGUUUUAUAUGGAUUUUAAUCAAUCGCUCCCGGUUUUAUCUAUUGUUGGUCGACGCGAUUUUUAGUACUCAUAUCUUUUGCACUGUACGACACCCAUCCUUGCUUUUUUGAUAUCAGAGGAUUUAUGUAUAAACAAUGUACAACUAUAAACUUUCAAUAAGGUGCCGCCGUACUGCUGCCGAUGGACAGGAUUUGUAAAUGAUCUGUAUGUUGGAUAGUCCGCAAUAGCCACCACACUGUUCCCCGACACACUCAUGAAUGUUCCAGCUUAUGUUUUAUUUUUCUAUGGCUGAGAUAUAUUUAACUAGAGAGACGAGUACAGAGUAUUACAGUUUUAAGAAGAGUAUUCCAGAGGAUGGCUUUAGUUUGAGGAGAAUAGCACACAAGAAGCAAGCGUUUAAAACAGUUGAUAAAGCAAUAAGCAGGGUUUGGUGUUCCACUUCGAUGUAUAAACUGUAAAGUUCAUGAUGUAUAUACUGUACACCAUACAAUGAGCAGAGCAGAGACACCGAAGAGGUUAUGUAUCAGAGUCAAUAUGCAAAUGUUCAUAUUUCAUCUGUUUUAUAUCAUGUGAAAUAAAUGUUGAUGUUCUUAUAUAUACA
ensembl:lncRNA